AGGUCCGUAGUUCAAGUGGGCAGAACACCUGGCUUUUAACCAGGUCGAUGCCGGAUCGUGGCCGGCCGGACCUACCA
rnacentral:tRNA from 1 species